rnacentral:tRNA from 1 species
UUAAUUGAAGCCAAAUUAGAGGUGUAUUACUGUUAAUAAUAUAACUGAACCAAAGUUCCAAUUAAG